rnacentral:rRNA from 1 species
UACGUAGGGACCAAGCGUUGUUCGGAUUUACUGGGUCGUAAAGGGCGCGUAGGCGGCAAUUCAAGUCAGUUGUGGAAAUCUCCGAGCUUAACUCGGAACGGUCAACUGAUACUGUUUUGCUAGAGUACAGAAGGGGCAAUCGGAAUUCUUGGUGUAGCGGUGAAAUGCGUAGAUAAUCAAGAGGAACACCUGAGGUGAAGACGGGUUGCUGGGCUGAUACUGACGUGAGGCGCGAAAGCUAGGGUAGCAAACGGG